GCGGGGCAUCCGUGGCUGGGCGUGGUGCGCCGGCGCGAGACGCGUGCGCACAAGGACCGCCGUGGGAGCGGGAGGGCGGCCUGAGGGCCUGUCCGGGGUGAAGGUGCCCUCCACACCCCUUGGCCAGACAUGUCUGUCAUUAGAAAAACUUAAGUGGGAAAAGCAACUGGAGACUUCUUUAUAAAGCCUCGUGGUGGAACAUCUGCUUGACCAUAUAUAUCAGUGGAAGGAUGAAGGUGCCACAUAGGGACUCAAUAUGAAUGGAAAAGGCCCAUCAUCGUGAGUCUGGUGUCUCGGUAGUCAUCUUAGGUCGUCCCUGGUGUUUCAUGGCUGACAAGAAAAGCUUAAGAUGAAGGUACUACAGCACUCUGAACACACACUAAAAACAGCUCUCAUCUCUCAGAACUCAGCACUUGUGUCGCAGUAUGACAAAUUAGAUGCUGGGGAACGACGUUUAAUGAAUGAAGCCUUCCAGCCGUCCAGUAAUCUCUUUGGACCAAUUACUGUGCAUUCACAGUCAGAUUGGAUCACCUCCCACCCUGAAGUUCCCCAAGAUUUCGAACAGUUUUUCACUGAUCGCCACAGAAACAUACCCUGUCCAGAGAAAAACAUUAUCUAUAUGCAGUCCAUUGGCGCUCUCGGCAACACCAGAGUUAUCAGUGAGCAGUAUAUUCAAUGGCUCAAGGGCUACUGUGAAGCGUUUUUCUACGGUUUGACUGUAAAGCUGUUAGAACCAGUUCCAGUCUCUGCAACGAAGUGUCCCUUUAGAGUGAACGAGCACACACAGAACCUACAAAUCCAUGCAGGGCGCAUCCUGGCAUUCUUGAAAAAGAAGAAACCCAAAGAUGCCUUCUGCAUCGUGGGGAUAACAAUGAUCGAUCUUUACCCACGGGACUCCUGGAAUUUUGUCUUUGGACAGGCCUCUUUGACAGAUGGUGUAGGGAUAUUCAGCUUUGCCAGGUACGGCCCGGAUUUCUACAGCUCCCGGUAUGAAGGCAAAGUGAGCAAGCCCCAGCGAACAUCUUCCAGUGACUAUUCCGUUUUUGAUAACUAUUACAGUCCUGAGAUCACUAGUAUUUUGCUGUGGCGAUCCUGUAAGACUUUAACCCAUGAGAUUGGACACAUAUUUGGAUUGCGACACUGCCAGUGGCUUGCGUGCUUAAUGCAAGGCUCCAAUCACUUGGAAGAAUCUGAUCGGCGGCCUCUAAACCUUUGCCCCAUCUGCUUACGCAAGCUGCAGGUUGCUAUUGGCUUCAGUGUUGUAGAGAGAUACAGAGCACUGCUGAGGUGGAUUGAUGAGGAGUCUAACGACGCGUCAAGAGCAACUCCGAGAAAGAGUUCUGACCAUGUGAAUUUGCGGAAACCUGUGGAAGCCUUUCAGGAUUGGAGAGAAUGGAUAAUAAAAUGCAUUGCUGUUCUGGAAAAAUAAGGACUUUGAGAUAGGUGUAACUGAAACAAACCCUGGCCCUCUAGGUGUUUGUGGCUAGAGUACUUCAUUGGAAUAAACCGUCUACUGGUUCUAUGCUGAGGCCAGGUAACAGACUAGAAGCCCCUGGACCAGAAUAAGGUUCACUGAGAACAAGGAAAGCCCUCUCUGCCCUUCUCUCCUGUCUCACUAGCCUGGUCUGUGGCAGUGAGCCCAUCACUUUCUCGCUUCAAAUUGGAUUAGCUGAAGCUAGAAGGUAAAUGCAGUUCUCCAGUGGGUCAACAUUAGGCAUAAACCUAGAAUGGAUUGGGAAUUACAAUGAUCUGGACAAGAUAAAAAAAAAAAUCCAUCUUAGCCUACUCUGCCAAGGACCCAGGAAGAAGGACUUUUGGAAGAAAUCACAUUGAUGAAAACGGGAGUGAACAACUAAAAUUCACAUAAACAUUUAUUAAGCAAUCUUCAUUUGAGUGCUGUUAUAACACAUUAGAUUGUAUACACUUUUGGAGAAUGUUUUAGGAUUAACUUUAUGAUUUGGGGACUGGUAAGUCGGCUCAGCAGGUGAGGGCACCUGCCCUCAAGCCUGAGGACUUGGGUCUGAUUCCUGGGACCCACAUGAUAGAAGGAGAGCGUUGGCUGUCCCAAGUUGUCCUCUGACUCAGUACAUGCAGCAGCUUAUGUGCACCCAAUAAAAAUGGAGAGGAAUGUGUGUAAUUUACUGUCCCUGGAGCUCAGUGGUGGGUUUUUUUGUUUUGUUUUUGU